GGUGGGUUGGCUCAGUGGUUAGAGCAUAGGACUCGUGAACGGAAGGUCGAGGGAUCGACUCCCGCUAGAGACCG
rnacentral:tRNA from 1 species